CACGUAGGGGGCGAGCGUUGUUCGGAAUUACUGGGCGUAAAGGGCAUGUAGGCGGCCUGAUAAGCCUGGCGUGAAAGUCGCCGGCUCAACCGGUGGAUUGCGUCGGGAACUGUCGGGCUCGAGUCACGGAGGGGGAGUUAGAAUUCCUGGUGUAGGGGUGAAAUCUGUAGAGAUCAGGAAGAAUACCAGUGGCGAAGGCGGCCACCUGGACAGUAACUGACGCUGAGGCGCGAAAGUGUGGGUAGCAAACAGGAUUAGAAACCCCAGUAGU
rnacentral:rRNA from 1 species